AACGCGAAGAACCUUACCCGGGCUUGAAAUGCAGAAGAAUAACGAAGAAAUUUGUUAGCUAGCAAUAGCUUCUGUGUAGGUGCUGCAUGGUUGUCGUCAGCUCGUGCCGUGAGGUGUCGGCUUAAGUGCCAUAACGAGCGCAACCCACAUUGUUAGUUACUAACAGGUCAAGCUGAGGACUCUAACAAGACUGCCGUCGUAAGAUGCGAGGAAGGUGUGGAUGACGUCAAAUCAGCACGGCCCUUACGUCCGGGGCGACACACGUGUUACAAUGGGUGGUACAAAGGGCAGCUACCGGGCGACCGGAUGCUAAUCUCCAAAGCCACUCCCAGUUCGGAUUGGAGUCUGCAACUCGACUCCAUGAAGCUGGAUUCGCUAGUAAUCGCGCAUCAGCCAUGGCGCGGUGAAUACGUUCCCGGGUCUUGUACACACCG
rnacentral:rRNA from 1 species